rnacentral:lncRNA from 1 species
AAAUAUGCUAGACAGAUCGUUGUUAGAACCGACGAACAAAAGUUAAAUUUAAUUUACUCUUACCUGGUUUACUCGAGGAAUAGUGGUUGUAAGAGGUCGAUCCACAGGGAGGCGAUUGGAGUUGCUUAAAAAUAAAAACGUUCACUCGGAUUCAAAAGCGAUUUUUGAAUAACAAAAGUAAAACAUUACGUCAGGGAUGUUUGAAUGAUUCUCUGGUCUACUAGAGAAUGUUUUCUACUUGAAGAAUAAACAAAAGAAAGAAAGAAAACU